rnacentral:misc_RNA from 1 species
GACUUGAAUCAGUAUAAAACUCCUGAAGCCUGUAAUAAGCCUUAUUACUCCCAAACCCAUGACUAGACCCAAUUUCAAAGCCCAACAUGCAAAACAAAAUAAAAUAAAAUAAAAUAUCAGAAAUUAAUUUGGGUCAACUCAACCUGAUAACUAUCAGAAAUCCACAACUAGAGAAGCCUAGCUCAAUCCUAAUACCCAGCAUGCAGAAACCAUUUAAUACCAUUAAUUUUCAUUAAACAAAUAGAUAAAUAAAUAAUUAAUU